CCAAUAGCGUAUAUUAAAGUUGCUGCAGUUAAAAAGCUCGUAGUUGAAUUUCGGGACCAAUAUGUCGGUCGUGCUUCGGUACGUACUGUCAUAAUUGGUUUCUCCCUUCUGAAGAACCUUGAUGUCAUUAAUUUGGUGUCUUGGGGAAUCAGGACUGUUACUUUGAAAAAAUUAGAGUGUUUAAAGCAGGCUCGCGCUUGAAUACAUUAGCAUGGAAUAAUGAAAUAGGACGUUUGAUUCUAUUUUGUUGGUUUCUAGGAUCGACGUAAUGAUUAAUAGGGAUAGUUGGGGGCAUUAGUAUUCAAUUGUCAGAGGUGAAAUUCUUGGAUUUAUUGAAGACUAACUACUGCGAAAGCAUUUGCCAAGGAUGUUUUCAUUAAUCAAGAACGAAAGUUAGGGGAUCGAAGACGAUCAAAUACCGUCGUAGUCUUAACCAUAAACUAUGCCGACUAGGGAUCGGAUGAUGUUAAUUUUUUAAUGACUCAUUCGGCGCCUUACG
rnacentral:rRNA from 1 species